UACGGGGGGGGCAAGCGUUGUUCGGAAUUACUGGGCGUAAAGGGCUCGUAGGUGGCCAACUAAGUCAGACGUGAAAUCCCUCGGCUUAACCGGGGAACUGCGUCUGAUACUGGAUGGCUUGAGUUCGGGAGAGGGAUGCGGAAUUCCAGGUGUAGCGGUGAAAUGCGUAGAUAUCGGAAGGAACAUCAGUGGCGAAAGCGGCUUCCUGGACCAGUACCGACGUUCAGGCACGAAAGCGUGGGGAGCAAACAGG
rnacentral:rRNA from 1 species